rnacentral:rRNA from 1 species
GACGUAGGGCGCGAGCGUUGUCCGGAUUUAUUGGGCGUAAAGAGCUCGUAGGUGGUUUGUCGCGUUGUUCGUGAAAUCUCACGGCUUAACUGUGAGCGUGCGGGCGAUACGGGCAGACUAGAGUACUGCAGGGGAGACUGGAAUUCCUGGUGUAGCGGUGGAAUGCGCAGAUAUCAGGAGGAACACCGGUGGCGAAGGCGGGUCUCUGGGCAGUAACUGACGCUGAGGAGCGAAAGCGUGGGGAGCGAACAGG